GACGAACGCUGGCGGCGUGCUUAACACAUGCAAGUCGAGCGGUAAGGCCAUUUCGGGGGUACACGAGCGGCGAACGGGUGAGUAACACGUGGGUGACCUGCCCUCAGCUCUGGGAUAAGCCUGGGAAACCGGGUCUAAUACCGGAUAUGACUCCAUGACGCAUGUUGUGGGGUGGAAAGCCUUGUGCGGCUGAGGAUGGGCCCGCGGCCUAUCAGCUUGUUGGUGGGGUGANGGCCUACCAAGGCGACGACGGGUAGCCGGCCUGAGAGGGCGACCGGCCACACUGGGACUGAGACACGGCCCAGACUCCUACGGGAGGCAGCAGUGGGGAAUCUUGCGCAAUGGGCGAAAGCCUGACGCAGCGACGCCGCGUGAGGGAUGACGGCC
rnacentral:rRNA from 1 species